GGAUGAAUGCCCUAUGGGUUGUAAGCUGCUUUUAUACAAGAAGAAACCUCGGUACCUGUACCGACUUGACGGUAUUGUAUGAAUAAGCACCGGCUAACUCCGUGCCAGGAGCUGCGGUAAUACGGAGGGUGCAAGCGUUAUCCGGAUUUAUUAGGUUUAAAGGGUCCGCAGGCGGAAUAUUAAGUCAGUGGUGAAAGCCUACAGCUCAACUGUAGAACUGCCAUUGAAACUGUUAUUCUUGAGUAUGGAUGAAGUGGGCGGAAUAUGUCAUGUAGCGGUGAAAUGCAUGGAUAUGACAUGGAACACCAAUUGCAAAGGCAGCUCACUAAACUAUUACUGAAGCUCAUGGACGAAAGCGUGGGGAGCGAACAGGAUUAGAUACCCUGGUAGUCCACGCCGUAAACGAUGAUCACUAGAUGUUGGCGAUAUAAUGUCAGCGUUCAAGAGAAAUCGAUAAGUGAUCCACCUGGGGAGUACGUUCGCAAGAAUGAAACUCAAAUGAAUUGACGG
rnacentral:rRNA from 1 species